rnacentral:rRNA from 1 species
GUCCACGCCGUAACUAUGCACACAAGCUGUAGUGGGAUUUUACUCCUGCUGUGGCGAAGCUAACGCAAUUAGUGUGCCGCCUGGGGAGUACGGUCGCAAGACUAAACUCAAAGGAAUUGACGGGGCCCGCACAAGCGGUGGAUUAUGUGGUUUAAUUCGAAGCAACGCGCAGAACCUUACCUAGGCUUGACAUCCCAUGACAAAGGUAGAAAUACCUCUUUGUAGCAAUACACAUGGAGACAGGUGCUGCAUGGCUGUCGU